rnacentral:rRNA from 1 species
GAUGAAGGCCUUCGGGUUGUAAACCGCUUUCAGCAGGGACGAGGCGAAAGUGACGGUACCUGCAGAAGAAGCCCCGGCUAACUACGUGCCAGCAGCCGCGGUAAUACGUAGGGGGCAAGCGUUAUCCGGAUUCAUUGGGCGUAAAGCGCGCGUAGGCUGCCCAGUAGGUCGAGAGUUAAAUCCGGGGGCUCAACCCCCGUCCGCUCCCGAUACCGCUGGGAUUCGAGUCUGGUAGGGGAAGGUGGAAUUCCCAGUGUAGCGGUGGAAUGCGCAGAUAUUGGGAAGAACACCGGUGGCGAAGGCGGCCUUCUGGGCCAUGACUGACGCUGAGGCGCGAAAGCUAGGGGAGCGAACAGGAUUAGAUACCCUGGUAGUCCUAGCCGUAAACGAUGGGCACUAGGUGUGGGGAGGCUUUACUUUCCGUGCCGACGCUAACGCAUUAAGUGCCCCGCCUGGGGAGUACGGCCGCAAGGCUAAAACUCAAAGGAAUUGACGGGGGCCCGCACAAGCAGCGGAGCAUGUGGCUUAAUUCGAAGCAACGCGAAGAACCUUACCAGGGC